CCUUGAGAUCGGAGUGCUUGCACUCUGUGAAACAAGAUACAGGCUAGCGGCGGACGGGUGAGUAACACGUGGGUAACCUGCCCAAGAGAUCGGGAUAACACCUGGAAACAGAUGCUAAUACCGGAUAACAACAGAUGAUGCCUAUCAACUGUUUAAAAGAUGGUUCUGCUAUCACUCUUGGAUGGACCUGCGGUGCAUUAGCUAGUUGGUAGGGUAACGGCCUACCAAGGCGAUGAUGCAUAGCCGAGUUGAGAGACUGAUCGGCCACAUUGGGACUGAGACACGGCCCAAACUCCUACGGGAGGCAGCAGUAGGGAAUCUUCCACAAUGGACGCAAGUCUGAUGGAGCAACGCCGCGUGAGUGAAGAAGGGUUUCGGCUCGUAAAGCUCUGUUGUUGGUGAAGAAGGACAGGGGUAGUAACUGACCUUUGUUUGACGGUAAUCAAUUAGAAAGUCACGGCUAACUACGUGCCAGCAGCCGUGGUAAUACGUAGGUGGCAAGCGUUGUCCGGAUUUAUUGGGCGUAAAGCGAGUGCAGGCGGCUCGAUAAGUCUGAUGUGAAAGCCUUCGGCUCAACCGGAGAAUUGCAUCAGAAACUGUCGAGCUUGAGUACAGAAGAGGAGAGUGGAACUCCAUGUGUAGCGGUGAAAUGCGUAGAUAUAUGGAAGAACACCGGUGGCGAAGGCGGCUCUCUGGUCUGUUACUGACGCUGAGGCUCGAAAGCAUGGGUAGCGAACAGGAUUAGAUACCCUGGUAGUCCAUGCCGUAAACGAUGAGUGCUAAGUGUUGGGAGGUUUCCGCCUCUCAGUGCUGCAGCUAACGCAUUA
rnacentral:rRNA from 1 species